CUAGGCCCCCCAGAUUACAAAAGUGACAGAUACGAAUGAAGCAACACGGCAAUCCACAAAAGCGACGAAUACGCCGGAGGACUUUAGUUUACUUGACUUGUUCACCACAAAGGCUGAAGCAAGGAAUAAACAUACGAGGUAGGCAUUUCACAUUCGCUGAUCUCUGAAUCUGAAAAGAGAAAUCAAGUCCGCAAAAUCUGAAGCUGCCAUUUUUGAGACCUUCGCUUCUCUCCACAUUGGCCAGGUUGAGAGCCAACUGUAGAUCUGUUUAAAGAUCAGGAUCGGUGGAAGUAUCUUGCGAUAUUUGUGAACGAUCUUCCCUUCACAUACAGCAUUGCAAGUUGCAA